rnacentral:rRNA from 1 species
AUCCGGAAUCAUUGGGCGUAAAGCGCCUGUAGGUUGUUUAAUAAGUCUGUUGUUAAAGACUAGGGCUCAACCCUAGAAAAGCAAUGGAAACUACUAGACUAGAGUAUGGCAGGGGUAGAGGGAAUUUCUAGUGUAGCGGUGAAAUGCGUAGAUAUUAGAAAGAACACCGGUGGCGAAAGCGCUCUACUGGACCAUUACUGACACUCAGAGGCGAAAGCUAGGGUAGCAAAAGGGAUUAGAUACCCCUGUAGUCCUAGCCGUAAACGAUGGAUACUAGAUGUUGUACGUAAAGUACAGUAUCCUAGCUAACGCGUUAAGUAUCCCGCCUGGGGAGUACGCUCGCAAGGGUGAAACUCAAAGGAAUUGACGGGGGCCCGCACAAGCGGUGGAGCAUGUGGUUUAAUUCGAUGCAACGCGAAGAACCUUACCAGGGCUUGACAUACUACAAAUUCUUUAGAGAUAGAGAAGUGCCUUCGGGAAUGUAGAUACAGGUGGUGCAUGGCUGUCGUCAGCUCGUGUCGUGAGAUGUUGGGUUAAGUCCCGCAACGAGCGCAACCCUUGUUUUUAGUUACUAAUUCGUUAGGUUUUCUAGAAAGACUGCCGGUGACAAACCGGAGGAAGGUGAGGAUGACGUCAAGUCAGCAUGCCCCUUAUGUCCUGGGCUACACACGUGCUACAAUGGUUAAGACAAAGAGUCGCGAGCUCGCGAGAGUCAGCUAAUCUCAUAAACUUAGCCUAAGUUCAGAUUGUAGGCUGCAACUC